rnacentral:rRNA from 1 species
AGUGAACGCUGGCGGUAGGCCUAACACAUGCAAGUCGAACGGCAGCACAGUAAGGGCUUGCUCUUACGGGUGGCGAGUGGCGGACGGGUGAGGAAUACAUCGGAAUCUACUUUUUCGUGGGGGAUAACGUAGGGAAACUUACGCUAAUACCGCAUACGACCUACGGGUGAAAGCAGGGGAUCUUCGGACCUUGCGCGAUUGAAUGAGCCGAUGUCGGAUUAGCUAGUUGGCGGGGUAAAGGCCCACCAAGGCGACGAUCCGUAGCUGGUCUGAGAGGAUGAUCGGCCACACAGGAAGUGAGACACGGUCCAGACUCCUACGGGAGGCAGCAGGAGGGAAGUUUGUGCAAUGGGCGCAAGCCUGAUCGAGCAAUUCAGCGGGAGUGAAGAAGGCCUUCGGUUUGUCAACCCCUUGUAGUGGGAACGAAAAAAAGCGGCACCAUCUAUGUACGUUGUGACGGUACCGAAAGAGAAAGCACCGGCUAACUACGUG